UACGAAGGGUGCAAGCGUUACUCGGAAUUACUGGGCGUAAAGCGUGCGUAGGUGGUUCGUUAAGUCUGUCGUGAAAGCCCCGGGCUCAACCUGGGAACGGCGAUGGAUACUGGCGGGCUAGAGUGCGGUAGAGGGUGGUGGAAUUCCCGGUGUAGCAGUGAAAUGCGUAGAGAUCGGGAGGAACAUCAGUGGCGAAGGCGGCCACCUGGACCAGCACUGACACUGAGGCACGAAAGCGUGGGGAGCAAACAGG
rnacentral:rRNA from 1 species